GGGGAACCGGGCCGCGCUUUGCCCCGACCCUCGGCGCUGGGCUCCAGCUCGGCCAAGGCCACGAUGUCCACGGCGGGGUUGGGGCCCAGCUUCUUGGCCGACUCCACGUCGGCCUUCAUCUCCUCCAGGUCGCGUUUGAGCUUGGCGCGGCGGUUCUGGAACCAGGUGAUGACCUGGGCGUUGGUGAGCCCCAGCUGCUGGGCGAUCUGGUCCCGGUCCGCCGGCGACAGGUAUUUUUGGUAGAGGAAACGCUUCUCCAGCUCGUAGAUCUGGUGGUUGGUGAAGGCCGUCCGAGACUUCCGACGCUUCUUCGGCGUCUGCCGCUGCCCGAAGAUCGUCAUCCCGUCCCUUCCUGCCGACGAGCCGUCACAUUGCCACCUCGCCCCGAACAAACCGCCCCCCCCCCCCCCUCCUUCCCCGGCCCUCCCGGAUCCCCCGCUCCCCUCCGCGCGCCCUCGGCUGCGCGCACCGCCGCCCUCCGACGGGACCCCCGCGCCCCCUCUUCGCCUUACCUUCGGCCGCCUGCAGCACGCUGACUUCCAGCCCCUUGAAGGUUUUGCUGGCCAGCUCCUCCAGGGCGCACAGCGGCGACGUCUGCGAGAGCAGCGCCCGGCCCGACAGCGGCAGCCCGGCCGCGGGGUGCUUCUCGGCGGCGGACAGCAGGUGGGCCGUCCCGCACAGCGCGUAACUCCUCCGCACCGACGGCUUGUUGAGGAUGUCCUCGAUGCUGAAAGGGGUGAGGGGUUUGUUGGAGUUAGCCGGAGGCGGGAGGUGAUCCAAAGGGCUCCUCCGUCGUUCUUCCCCCGAGGAAGGCUUGGCUUCUUCUUUGGAAGUCAUGGUGGGGCCGGGCGGCGCGGGGCUGCCUUCCCCACCCGCUCCGGGGAUGCGCUGCCGCGGGGAGAAGAGCUCGGGGAGGCGGCGAGCAAAAGUUGAAGCGCAGCUCCGGGUCCGGCCGCGGCCACGUCGGGGAGGGGGGGGAGCGGCCGCGGGGAGCGAAGCGCGGAGCGGAGCGGCCGUCGGUCCCGCGCCGGAGGUGGUCGCGCCGUGCCUCUGUCCCGGGGCUUCGGGAGCGGAUUUUUUCCCUCUCUCUCUCUCUCUCUCUCUCUCUUCUCUCUCUUCUCUCUCUCUCUCUCCCUCUCUCCCUCCUCUCUCUCUUCCUCUUCCCGGCUGCUAUUUUAAGAAACACCCCAAAUCGCUGCACUUUCCCUGCCCUCCCCCCCCCCCCCCCAAAAAAAAGAGAGGAUUCCCCCCACACCGCCCCGGCACGUAAUCAAAAAUUAAAAAUCAAAAAUGAAAAAUGAAAAAAGAGACAUAGAAAUGUAUAAAAAAAAUAAAGGAGACUUCGAAGAGGGGCAGAGCAGCCCUCGCACCGAGCCCUCGGACCGGGGGGAAAGAGGCGAGAAGAGACGGGGUAAUUGACUAUUGCUAACAAGUUAUUGUUGAUUGGGAGGUAAUCAAUUAUCUUCAAUGACACUUUUCGCCCUCUCUCUCUCUCGCUCGCUCUCUCCCGCUCUGUCCAAUGCAGGCUUUUGCAAGUUCGGAGACCCAUUAAUUAGGAGGCGGUAUGGAGGUGGAGCCCGGCUGAAUUAUAAUGCUGAAUGCACUUGUCAUAUUCGGGCCCUGCUAUUUGUUAGGACAUAUAUAUUUUUAAAUUACAUUACAAAGCAGCCUUUAUUGCAUCGGGGUAAUACGGCAGAGUGAAUAAUAAUAAUAACAAAACAAAAACACGGCGGCAUCGUUUAAAAAAUUCUUUUACUUUAUUAUUAUUUUUUAAUCGAGAUUUUUUUUUUCCUUCCUUUUCCUGUUUCUCCCUCCUCUAAAUUUCGGCUUCUGCUUUAUUUCAAACGUCUCCCUCCGGCUCAACCCGGAGCCCUUCUGCUGUUUUAAUGAGGGGAAGAAGGGGAGAACGUGUCUCCAGCCCCAGCAAUCCAAUCGGACGUGGGCUCCCAGCAAGAACAGCCGCGACGUGCCUACCCAGGGCCUGGCAAGGCGAGAACUCACUGUAUUUUAUUUUUAAGUAUUUCGAUGGGUACACCCGUCCCUCCUCCAUGCCGGGACAGAGAGCAGACGGGACCGCUUCCCCCGAACGACGACCGCACAGGGGUCCCCCUGCCCUGCGAUUUGGCUCUGGACAAAACUUUGUUGGCCGGAGGGGGGGUGGUGGGGGGGGGGCAGCGACACGGGGCUGCGACUGCCGAACCGCUCUGGCUCCUCCGAGAGCUGUAAUAUCUCCUCGGCUCCCGGCACGCGUGAAUAAUUCACCGGGCUGCCAAAUCUAAGUAACGUGUGUGGCAGCUCUGAAGGAGGCGAAGGCCCGUUUUUGGGGGGCAGGAGGAGGUGUGGGGAAUCAAUUGAAACUUAAUAUAGGGCGUGGGGGGGAGAAUGGCGGAAAUAAGGCAGGCAACUUCUUCUAAUAACAACUGGCUGUUAAUAAUUCAGGAGCAGUCAUUGGAUUAUAACGCAAUAUCCGAAGUACGCGGUGCCGGCACAGUGCGGGUGGAUAAUGUAAUCGGAGCUCAUUUCGGCUUCCAAUAAAUUACAGCAGCAAAAGUUUCCUGUUAAA